rnacentral:rRNA from 1 species
GAUAUUGGUCAAUGGGGGCAACCCUGAACCAGCGACGCCGCGUGGGUGAUGAAGGUCUUCGGAUCGUAAAACCCUUUUCAAGGUGACGAGACAAGGACGGUAGCCUUGGAAGAAGUCUCGGCUAACUACGUGCCAGCAGCCGCGGUAAAACGUAGGAGGCAAGCGUUAUCCGGAGUUACUGGGCGUAAAGCGCAUGUAGGCGGUUGGGCAAGUGGCGUGUGAAAGCUCCCGGCUAAACUGGGAGACGACAGGUCAGACUGCCGAACUGGAGUCCGAUAGAGGAGCGUAGAAUUCCGGGUGUAACGGUGAAAUGUGUAGAGAUCCGGAGGAAUACCAGUGGCGCAAGCGGCGCUCUGGGUCGGGACUGACGCUGAGAUGCGAAAGCGUGGGGAGCGAAC